rnacentral:rRNA from 1 species
ACCAGACUCCUACGGGAGGCAGCAGUGGGGGAUAUUGCACAAUGGGGGGAACCCUGAUGCAGCGACGCCGCGUGGGUGAAGAAGCGCCUCGGCGCGUAAAGCCCUGUCAGCAGGGAAGAAAAUGACGGUACCUGAAGAAGAAGCCCCGGCUAACUACGUGCCAGCAGCCGCGGUAAUACGUAGGGGGCAAGCGUUAUCCGGAUUUACUGGGUGUAAAGGGGGCGCAGACGGCGAUGCAAGCCAGGAGUGAAAGCCCGGGGCCCAACCCCGGGACUGCUCUUGGAACUGCGUGGCUGGAGUGCAGGAGGGGCAGGCGGAAUUCCUGGUGUAGCGGUGAAAUGCGUAGAUAUAAGGAGGAACACCGGUGGCGAAGGCGGCCUGCUGGACGGCAACUGACGUUGAGGCCCGAAAGCGUGGGGAGCAAACAGGAUUAGAUACCCCAGUAGAG